rnacentral:rRNA from 1 species
AUUGAACGCUGGCGGCAUGCCUUACACAUGCAAGUCGAACGGUAACAGGUCUUCGGAUGCUGACGAGUGGAGCACGGGUGAGUAAUACAUCGGAACGUGCCCGAUCGUGGGGGAUAACGGAGCGAAAGCUUUGCUAAUACCGCAUACGAUCUACGGAUGAAAGCAGGGGACCGCAAGGCCUUGCGCGGACGGAGCGGCCGAUGGCAGAUUAGGUAGUUGGGGGGAUAAAAGCUUACCAAGCCGACGAUCUGUAGCUGGUCUGAGAGGACGACCAGCCACACUGGGACUGAGACACGGCCCAGACUCCUACGGGAGGCAGCAGUGGGGAAUUUUGGACAAUGGGCGAAAGCCUGAUCCAGCCAUGCCGCGUGCAGGAUGAAGGCCUUCGGGUUGUAAACUGCUUUUGUACGGAACGAAAAGACUCUUUCUAAUAAAGAGGGUCCAUGACGGUACCGUAAGAAUAAGCACCGGCUAACUACGUG